rnacentral:rRNA from 1 species
AACGAACGCUGGCGGCAUGCCUAACACAUGCAAGUCGAACGAAGCCUUCGGGCUUAGUGGCGCACGGGUGCGUAACGCGUGGGAAUCUGCCCUUUGGUUCGGAAUAACAGUUGGAAACGACUGCUAAUACCGGAUGAUGACGAAAGUCCAAAGAUUUAUCGCCAGGGGAUGAGCCCGCGUAGGAUUAGCUAGUUGGUGUGGUAAAGGCGCACCAAGGCGACGAUCCUUAGCUGGUCUGAGAGGAUGAUCAGCCACACUGUGACUGAGACACGGCCCAGACUCCUACGAGAGGCAGCAGUGGGAAUAUUGGACAAUGGGCGAAAGCCUGAUCCAGCAAUGCCGCGUGAGUGAUGAAGGCCCUAGGGUUGUAAAGCUCUUUUACCCGGGAUGAUAAUGACGGUACCGGGAGAAUAAGCCCCGGCUAACUCCGUGCCAGCAGCCGCGGUAA